GUGGGGAAUAUUGGACAAUGGGCGCAAGCCUGAUCCAGCAACGCCGCGUGAGGGAUGACGGCCUUCGGGUUGUAAACCUCUUUCAGCAGGGACGAAGCGAAAGUGACGGUACCUGCAGAAGAAGGACCGGCCAACUACGUGCCAGCAGCCGCGGUAAUACGUAGGGUCCGAGCGUUGUCCGGAAUUAUUGGGCGUAAAGGGCUCGUAGGCGGUCUGUCGCGUCGGGAGUGAAAACUCAGGGCUCAACCCUGAGCGUGCUUCCGAUACGGGCAGACUAGAGGUAUGCAGGGGAGAACGGAAUUCCUGGUGUAGCGGUGGAAUGCGCAGAUAUCAGGAGGAACACCGGUGGCGAAGGCGGUUCUCUGGGCAUUACCUGACGCUGAGGAGCGAAAGCAUGGGGAGCGAACAGGAUUAGAAACCCUGGUAGUCC
rnacentral:rRNA from 1 species